CUUCGUCCUUGGGUCAAAUAAAACCAAAUUUCAUCCAAUUAUCUUGAAAGUUGCGACCUGGAAUAAUAUGCGUGUCAUAGUCACCAUAGUUUUUUUAUUCGGCUGUGCCCUUCGCCAAUUAUUUACAAAAAAUAAAAAAAUAUUUGUGUUGACGCCGUCAAAAGUUAUUUGUGUAUUGCGACCCCUACAAACUACACUGCAUAUGGUAAUCUGGCAUCACCAUAUGUAGUGUGGUGAGUAUGAGUUUGCUAAAAGAAACAUGGUUUGAUGUUUUUUUAUUCGCUCUUGGUUUUUCUCAAAUAGCAGCCGGACAAAAGAAAAAGAAAAUUUAAUAAUUUAUAAAAUAAAUGAAUAAAUCUAAUCAAAGUGUUUUAAAUUAAAUAAAAUAAAGAAAAAACCAACGGAACUAUCAUAAGGAAACAAAUAAAACCACAAAAAAUAAAAUAAAUACAGUGUUUUUUAUUAAAGUGAAAUAAGGGUGGUUUUUUGUUAAUUGUGUUUGCUGAGAGCACAGUGAUUCCUGACCUGCCGUAAUCUAAUAAGACAAGUGCCGGAGAUUGCGUGCCUUCUUUCUGUCAACCAGCUCCAACCAAACCAAACGGAUUAAGGUAACACCAGCUCCCGAUUUGGCCCCAAACAUUGGACCUUCUCCCGACAAGAAAGUGCUUAUUUAAUACAAAUUUUUGUUGCCCGUUAUGCAAUCGUUUUCAUGCGAUUCGCCAAUGCUCACGGUUUAUAGUGAUGACAGUCAAGAAGAAAUUGCGAGUCGUGUCUCAAUAUAACUUAUGUUAUAACUGUCUUGCCCAGUCUCACACCAGAACCGAGUGCGAAAAUAUCGCUCGAUGCCGCCGAUGUGGACAAGAUCACAACAGCUGGCUCCACCCGACUCCAGAAGGAUGUAUCUGGAUUGAAAUGACGGCCCAUGUCCGUAUAUCUACGCAGCUAGGCGGUGCCGAGCGCUGGACUCGUGCAGUGAUAGAUCCGACUAUUGCUAGAUCUUCCAUCACACUUAGCGAGGCCAAAAAGCUUGGCUGUAACAUAUACGGAGGUGGGACUACAAUUAGCGUGUUUCAUGGGAGCGAAAACCGACGUCGGAUAUUGGUGGAUUGCACUGUGGAAACCAAAAAAUAUGGUCGUAGCCCAAAAUUCUCCAUAGAAAGAUCAGACAGACGUGGUCCUGGCGAAAUGAGUACCUCAUUCGAUGCCAUCUCAUUUUAGGAGCAGAUGUCCAAAGCAAAAUUCUUCUUGGUCCAGCCUGCGGGCGCCCCGGCUCCCUUUACGUUCAGGAUACGAUAUUCGGAUUUACAUACUUUGGAGAAGGAGUUAAAGUGGCAGCCGAACCCACCACUUAUCAAUAUACUUGCAUUCUUUGCCGCCCUAAUAGAAGUUAAAUACUAAAAUUUUGUUGCCCUACCAGGCUUUGAAGUUAAUAGCUGGCUAUUAGCUAUUUUGUUAAUAAUAUAUUUCCUAUAUUUAUGUACAAUAUUAUUGAAGUAUUGAUCUCAUUUAUGAAUUUAAUGAAUUGAACCUUUUUUAUAACUAUUGUUGUUAAGAAUAUAAUACUAAUUUGAAUUUAAUUGUUUAUUUAUGAUUUAAUGAAUUUCAUUUAAUUCCAUUAAUAUAUAUGUAUUCCGAUUCCUUUUUUAAAUACGAAUUCUUAUUUUUAUUUUGAAAACUAAAAUUAAAUCUAACAUUUUAUAACUAGUUUGUAUUAUUGUCGCAAGCCCGGCGGUAUGUUGACGCCGUCAAAAGUUAUUUGUGUAUUGCGACCCCUACAAACUACACUGCAUAUGGUAAUCCGGCAUCACCAUAUGUAGUGUGGUGAGUAUGAGUUUGCUAAAAGAAACAUGGUUUGAUGUUUUUUUAUUCGCUCUUGGUUUUUCUCAAAUAGCAGCCGGACAAAAGAAAAAGAAAAUUUAAUAAUUUAUAAAAUAAAUGAAUAAAUCUAAUCAAAGUGUUUUAAAUUAAAUAAAAUAAAGAAAAAACAAACGGAACUAUCAUAAGGAAACAAAUAAAACCACAAAAAAUAAAAUAAAUACAGUGUUUUUUAUUAAAGUGAAAUAAGGGUGGUUUUUUUGUUAAUUGUGUUUGCUGAGAGCACAGUGAUUCCUGACCUGUCGUAAUCUAACAAGACAAGUGCCGGAGAUUGCGUGCCUUCUUUCUGUCAACCAGCUCCAACCAAACCAAACGGAUUAAGGUAACACCAGCUCCCGAUUUGGCCCCAAACAAUUUGAAAAUCAUGGUAACACUAAAAAGAGAAAAUUAUAAAAAUUAACAAAAACGUAGAGAAAAUAAAAUGAAUUUUAUUUUUGAUUGCCAACGCCAA
rnacentral:lncRNA from 1 species